UGGGGAAUCUUGCACAAUGGGGGGAACCCUGAUGCAGCGACGCCGCGUGAGCGAUGAAGCCCUUCGGGGUGUAAAGCUCUUUCGGCAGGAACGAUAAUGACGGUACCUGCAGAAGAAGCUGCGGCUAACUACGUGCCAGCAGCCGCGGUAAUACGUAGGCAGCGAGCGUUGUUCGGAGUUACUGGGCGUAAAGAGUAUGUAGGCGGUUCUCCAAGUCUGGUGUGAAAUCUCCCGGCUCAACCGGGAGGGUGCAUUGGAAACUGGGGGGCUGGAGUGCGGGAGAGGGAAGCGGAAUUCCUGGUGUAGCGGUGAAAUGCGUAGAUAUCAGGAGGAACACCCGCGGUGUAGACGGCUUCCUGGACCGUAACUGACGCUGAGAUACGAAAGCGUGGGGAGCAAACAGG
rnacentral:rRNA from 1 species